AAAUGGCUCAUCUGGUUUCUGCUGUUCUGAGCACACUUGUCUACAUCUUUAGAGUAAAUGGAGUUUUCACCCAUUCUUUGCUCUCCUUCGUUUCUGUCCACACCUGCAUUGUUCCAUAACUUCCUGGAGUGAACUUAUUGGGCACGUAUUUGAAGUAAACUUCAGCGUGACUUUGACACUCAGCUCCUAAUUCUUCACUAACUUGCUGUCCACUGAAGAGUAACAUGUAACCCCUUGACACUUAACUCUCAAAUUCUGACCCUGUGCAGCAUGGAUACUCUUGCAGCAAGCCAAUUCGCUAGGCCUUGGGACGUGAGUUUGGCCUUCUUCUUCCAAAGGUUGGACCAGGUUGUUUUCUCCACUUGGCAUCCCUUUCUGCCUCAAAAAAAAAAUUCAUGCUCUAGGGCUAGACACACACACACACACACACAGACACCCACACACAGACAUACACAAACAGACACACACACACAAACUCACACACAAACAGACAUAUACAAACAGACACACACACACAGACACACACACAGACAGACAUACACAAACAGACACACACACACACACACACACACACACACACACACUGGACUGUAAUCUAAGACACUUCUGUCCAUGGUGGCACCUGCCUUUUAUCAACUAGUAACAUAUAUUACAAUAUUUAAGACUCCUCCUUUCUGUGAUUAAAAACAGUCUUUCCAUUCUUA
rnacentral:lncRNA from 1 species